rnacentral:tmRNA from 1 species
GCCGUUGAAUUCCGGGCGCGGAUCGCCCAUAUUCCGACUGCCGGGGCGACCCGGCUAUGAUCGUAGAUGUCGGGUGGAAUAAGCGUUUAGGACGCGGGUUCAAUUCCCGCCGUCUCCACCAUGAGCCCGUUCGACGAGAGACCCUCGCGCGGCGGGCUGAUGAUGGGGACGACUUGGGUUCGACUAGGCGUGAUAAAGGCUCAGCGGCGAUUGGGCGAGCUACGGCCCUGACAGUGCAAACACACAAAUGCCAACGACAACGUUGACAUGGGUGAGGUUCGCCUCGCGGCGUAACCAU